UCCCAAAGUGCUGGUAUGACAGGUGUGAGC
rnacentral:piRNA from 1 species